AGGCUUUAUGAGAAAAAAUAAUGAAGUAUAAAGUGCAAUAUGUACUUUUGAGCCAGAAAAGCAGCUUUAUCUAAGUAAGGUUAGGGUUUUACAAAGGCUUUAAUGAAGUAAGAGACUGGAAGUUUAGGGAUCUUCAAUGAUACUCACAAGAAUGGAAUCACUAGUUCAGUAUGGUUCAGGGUUUUAUAUAGGAUUCAGCAAGAAAACAAAAAAAGAGGACUAAGUUUAGGGUUACCUCACUAGCUUUAGCAGUAAAAGAAGCAUAAGCAGUAGUUUGAUGCUAUUUUUAGGUCUCAGGCUAGGUUCACCUACCAGAGUUUUCUCAAGGGAUGUAUCAUGGGAGGAAAGGUUGUAGACUGAGAGACCAUAUUUGUAGGUUACAAGCUCUUUGAGGUUGUAUCAAAAUGAAGGAGAACUUUUAGAGGUAAGCUUCACGCUCUUUAAUCUCUGAAAUUCUUUUUUUUUUUUUUUUUCUGAAAUAGUUAUAACAUGUGCAGAGUUUUUACUUUCCUUGUGGUUUUAGUUGGUGUUGUUUAUUUUCUUUUUAAAAGUUAAAGCAUAGAAUGCCACAACUACCUGAGCUACUUGGAUGGACAUUGGGGAUAACUUUGGUUUUUGACAAUGGACUUUGAAGAGGAUUUUGGAACUGUUUCAAUGAAAUGCAGUUCAGUUGUGGAUAAAUUUGGUUUUUGCAUUGGGUUUAUGUUGAAUGGGUUGCAUUAAUUGUUACAGGCUAUAUUGAAUGGGUUGCUUUAAUUGUUAUAGGAUGUGUUGAAUAGGUUGCUUUAAUUCUUACAGGCUAUGUUCUAUUGCGUCCCUUUAAUUCUUACAGUGUGUGCUGUGUGGAUCAUUGGGCACGUUUUGCUUGAAAUUGUGAGCUGGUUACAG
rnacentral:lncRNA from 1 species